rnacentral:lncRNA from 1 species
CACUGUACAGAAUCCUCCGGUUCUCUCUAGAACCGGACGAUUCGAGCCGUCCAUGGCGAUUCCCGAGUCGAACCGAGCGAGUCCGGUUCGACUCGACGUUUUUUUAAACACUGAUCCCAACUAUUCGAGAUAGACUUCUGACAACACUCCUGAUCAUAAUUGUUGUCAUAGCCUUUUCCUAAGUAUUCGAGAUAGACUACUCUCACAAUACGUCAUGAUUAUCAUUGUCCGAGCCUUAUCCCAACCAU